rnacentral:lncRNA from 13 species
UGUUCACACAAAUUGGAAUUAGUUUAAUGAUAUUUUAAUUUUUUCAAAGAUAUCCUUGGCCUUGCUACUACAGGGCCUUCAGGCACAAAUAGUCCUAAACGUGCAGGUGUUUAGCAGAAAGAAUAAAACCCCCCCUAAAAGCGCAGGUGUGCAUAGCAGGUUUGUCAAGAAACGCUUCUGAAGGACAGAACAAACUCUGUUUUUCUGUGACUUAGGAGGGAAUCACUGCUGCUGUGUCUCUCUGGCUGCCUUUCCUCCAUGGCUCUCUCCAGCUCCAGGGCUGUGCCAUUUUCUCAGGGAUGCUGUGACUCAUUCCCUGUUUAUUUUCCCUCGCAGAUGGCGUCAUUUCACCUCCACGAGUGACACCGUGGCACUGGCUCGGCUGCGUGAGGCUGGGAUGAGUGCAGGAUGUGUGGUGCAGCUUUCCUUGUCUCUGCCUUGUGCAGCAGUGGGUGAGUAGUUCCUUCAAGAGGCUCUUCUGAAGCUUGGUUUGAUUUGGAGAGAGAAAAGGGGUCAAGAUAACAAAAAACUAGCAGAGGAAGAGCCAGGCCAUGAGGAGGGCUCUGUGUUACUUGGGCUGAAGCUGCACCUCAGGAGCCAUGAAUCCCCACAGAUCACUCACAAAUGGCCAAGGUCUCUGAAAGCAGAUGGACACCAUGCAGAUAGCACUUCUCCCAUCUGUGCAGUCCAGUGUCAAGCCAGCCUUUUGGAAAAUGAUGCAACUUGGGUGCUUACCUGUACAUUAUAACCACUUCUCUGGAGGUGUGUUAGGAGCAAAGAUGGAAGCAAUUUCAGCUGAACAGAGAAGAUGGAAGGGUCUGUGGAAGGUGAACUUACAUCCAACCAAACUUCCUCGUACCUCAAACCACCUUUGGACAAAGUGUAAUUUUGGUGUAUAGAGUGGGGAAAAGGGAAUGCUACAGUUGAAAGUAAAUUGAAAAAUUAUACACCAACAUAGAAGAGCAGGUAAGAAUGUUUUGUGCAGAGCUGAACUCUUUAAAAAUGGUACUAAAUAUUUUGGACUAUUUUAAUACAUGUACUAAGCUCUAUAGACAAAGCUAUUGAAAUAUUGAGACCCUACAGAGAUCCUAAAAAGCUUUCAAGCUAAAUUUAACUGAGUUAACUCCUAAUUGAAUUUGGUUUUCUUUUUUAAAUUCUCAACUAUGAAACAAAAAUUAAAAAAAUAUACUUGGUGUUAUAUCUUAGAAGCCUUGAAAAUAUCCCCAGAGCUCAACAUAGAUUUUUCACUGUUAACAUAAGUAUUGAUAAUUUGAGGCAUGUGCCCUACAAGACCAUAAGGAGAAGCUGUAAAUCGGGUAACUCAUCUAAACAAGUCCAUUCUUAUUCAGCAGAAAAGAAAACUUUCAGUAGUGUAGAGAUGGCACGAAAAAUUCUUAUAACAGAAGCAUCUUCAGUGCUAGUUGGGAAUGUGAUGCAUUUUAGGCUUGUUCCAUUAACAGCUCUUUAAGAAACAAAAAACCUGAACAAUGUUUCAAAACUCCACUCUAGCCUCUUUGCUGCUGCUCUUGGCAUUAUCUCUGAUACAUUCGAAGUAGUUUUGCACAACUAUUAAUUGGAUCUUUUGGGGAAGAUCAGCAGAAUUUCCACUUCUCAGCAAAACCAAAUGGCUAUAACUUAAGGCUAUCCUAGAUCACAGUAAGAAUAUCAGCCAUGGGAAUUCCACCCUGAAGAAUAAGACCUCUGUGAACCUUUAUCUCGUGGCUAUCACAUUUUGUCAGUGGAAGGCACCUGGAGGGAUGUGUGACAGAGUGUUAAGUGGGGCAGAAACAGGGCUGGCAGAAAUUAACCUCGAUAUUGGUGGAAGUGAAAAGAAGCUUGUGUUUUGUGGAUUGUGCACGUUUGAAGAGAAUAUUAUUCCAUUCAUUCUUUUUGCCGACAUUGCCUGAAUCUAGCAAGGUGAUUUGCAGUACCUGGAAUAUUGGGGUUGGUUUGUUAUUAGUGGCUGCUUCUACAUUUUGAAGACAUUGGCUGUGCUGCUCUCGUUAGCGCCUCUGCACUGCUCUGUGAGGAGACUGCGGGCUGCUCUUGCCUCCUGCUGGCAGAGGAGGUUAUUUCCCAGCCAUACUGCUUCAAAUUCCUUCCAGAGUUGAAUUCAUGCAAAAGAGUUUGUCAAUCCACUGAAAAAAUAAAUAGAAAACUUUUUGCCUUGCAAUUUAAGUAGUUUUGUUCUUUUAAGUAAGGUGAAAGACCUCCUUCUAGGUGAAUUAUCAGUCAGCUCUUUGAGCUACCUGGGAACGACCCUGUUCAAGUUUGUCAGUUAAGAAAUGAGCUCCUGAAGUGAUUCUGAGCAUCUUUGCAUUUUUUGUUAUGGAGUGGAGUCAGCUUUUUUUUUGCUAGUCUUAAUUGCCUUCUCCAAUAUAUCCAGUUAUUGGACAUUUAGCACUUCAAGUGGAGUAAAACUGCUAGAAGUACUGGCCAUGCACUCUUUUGUUCAGUAGAUUAGCAACUGCCAGAAUUGGAGAACGAAAGAGUUUCACUUUUGUGCCAGAGAAAAUAAAAGCAGAGAGAAAGGUCCUUGAUAACAAGUAAAGUUUGGGAAGGUUAUGGGGAUGGGUUAGCAUGGAGAGAGAAAGAUUGUUCACGUGCAGUUUGGAAGUUAAUGUAUUUGCUCACACAUUAAAGGUGUUUUGAAAUGCCUUCACCACUUCCAUUCCACCCCCAAGAGGAAGCAGCUGAGUCAUAAAUUUGCAUAGAGAGUAUUAGUUGUAAAAAAUAGAUAUUACACCCCAAAAUUCAGGAGUGUUGUGUAUUAAGCCCAAGUGCAAGAUGUUAAAUGUUAUUGGAAAGCUAUGAAAUUGGUUUACAAGUUAAAUCACUAGUAUGGCUUUUUUAGGAUAUUCAUCAAAAUUUACUUAAAUUAAAACAAAGAAACACAUUUGUUGAAUGAUUGCAAUUCCUGCUGCCUCCAAUUUUUUUAUAUUCAUCCUUGAAAGCUAUUUACUUAAUUUUUUGUGUUCAAUGAGAUAGUUAUCAUAACUGAUUAUGUAAGAUAAUGAUUUUAAGUUCUGUUGAUACAUCACUUAGAGAAUGUAGUUGUUGGAAUCACUGUAAAUAUGGCAGGUAAGAGCAGAAGAAAGGAAGAAAAUGGAUGUAAACAUCCGUGAGCUCCAGUAGAUUGAUUUUUCUUGAGUGGUUUGACAGAUAAAAUGGUAAAGCAAAAUGUUCAACUUCAAAUGCAUCACUUGAAGAAAGAAGGAGAAUGUGGCAGGGAAGGAAGGAGAUGAUGAAUGUUACUUUGUUAGAGAGGAGAAAAUGCAAUUGUUCUGCAUGAGGUGUUCAUCACUUUCCUUUUUCUCUUCUACAGCAUUUGAUAAACGUCCAUUUAGCUGUAGUAGGCAAAAAUCAUGUUUAAAGUCUUGGUUCAUGGGUCAUCUUUCAAAGCAUUACAUCUUAAUAGUUUAAAACUUUUGUCUGGUUCUGUACAACAGUUUAAUGUCUGAGGCUUCAAGCAAUUCUCAGAAGAAAGCAGUGAGGAGUUUCACUCUGAACAAGGAGGGUGUGAUGAAUAUGCAUUCCCAUCAGGGCUAAGCAGCUUCUCUAGAAAUUCCAAUUUCUCAGAGGAGAAACACAUUACUCCAAAUACCCCUCUUCAGAAUAACAAUGGAACUGCCCUCUGAGGGUCUGUGAUGUUACACAGGACUGUGGGUGUUGCUGUUAGGUAGGAAGGGAGGAGAACAGACACGCUUUAUAGUGUUAAGUCGUGGGCGAGCAUAUACACAAAAGUGUUUCAGGUAGAAGAACAAAGGGACUAAGGAAAAAUGCUGCAUGUAGAUUUUUUUGACUUUAAAAAACGCAAUCUAGCUUAUUUACAAAGAAUUCACCAGUUUUGUCCCUUAAAAAUGUUGGUGAAAAAUGAGGUGCAAAUGAGAGGUGCAGAAAGACUUUUGCUGGGAGAUGCCAGCCUUUUUACCAGCACCUUCACCCACCCCUACAAAAUGCUCAGUUAGUCUGAAUCUCUUUUGUAGUCUCUAGCUUUUGGCUCUAGUACACAUUUAUAUGCAAAGCACUAUCCAGCAAAGUUUUUCCUUGUUUCUGAGUUAAAUUGCCAUAGCAGAUUUCCACGUGUUUUUGGAAGGUGACAGAGACAGCGGUUCUGUUCUCAAGGCAGGUACUGUUUUGUGAAAGAUCUUUACUAUUUAUUGCAUCUAUUCCUGGUGGAAGAUGGCAAUUACUAUCCCACUUCCAGCAACUCUUUACCUGAAUCCUGACAGCUCUUAAUUAUGUGUGAAAGAAGUUAUAUGCAGAGAAAUUUCUCAGAGUGAAUUACCUGUGAGAUGUGUUCCAGCUUAGAACGUCUGCAGCACCACCGUUUGUCUUGUGGUUCUCAUUUGGUUUUUUUUUGUAUCAGGAGCUGGGAGACUUUGCCUGGCUUUUGAUACCAGAAUUUGCAUUGGGAAGGAAUUUCUGCUGCUGCUUUCCCAAUGUUUCUCUCCCUCUUUUUAUUUUUUUUUACCCUUUUCUGUUGGAUUUGGCUCUAUGUUUCUUCCUUUAAAUGAGCCUCUUGCAGUCAGCUGCUGAGUUUGUCUACUGCUGAGUGUACUGCUCAAGGAAACACAGAGAAAUAAGUAACAGGCUUUCAAAUUUCUGAUCAAGUUUAACAUUAAAUCUUAUUAUUCAGCUACAUAACUUCGUUACCCUUCAGUUAUAAAUGUUUUAUUUUCUCUUUAAGUAUUUAUUGGCAAAAACAUAUUUAUGUCUAUACUCAGAGAAACGUGCCAUGAUGGCAGUCCUGUUGCAGUUGAUUUCCAAAAUAAUUUCAAGCCUGCAGAAGCUGGCGUUUAAAAGAUGUCCUAUUCCAAGUCAUACUAAAUCCAAGAUUUUAAAUGAUGCCCAGCUUCCAGACCAAUGUAAUGAGUAAAGAUAGCUGAGCCAGGACAGAUGUACUGCUUCCCGGUCCAGAGUAGCUGAGUGCUGGCAACUCUGCCAUUUAAUGCAGGAGAAAUCUUGCCGCACAAAGGCAAGGAAAUUCCAGUCCUCUAGAAACAUCUAGUUGGGCUAUUGUGACAGGAUUUUAAUGCACAAUCAAUCUCACGAGAUUUUUGUUUCUGUGGGAAGCUUGGGCUUUAUUGCAUUGAUAUUUCCAGAGAAACUGUUUUCCCUAAAAACUUCCAGGGAGCUCUCAGUGUUUUACCACAAUUAAAUUGCACUUAUGAUGGGUUAUUAUUUCCUGCCUAGUCUUUCAUCACAGAUGUUUUUCAAUUAUGGAUGGUCACUCUCUGUUUUAAUAAUUCUUUCUGGAUUUAUAUUUCAGCAUGAGAUUUAGGAUGGCUUGAACUAAACCUCAUUUAUUAGAGGUAAUAUUAACAGCACAAGGGAUGUUAAAUUAUAAAAUGCAAAGAGUUCCAGGAAAGAGAUGAUCAUUGGGGAUUGUAGCAGUAACUUGAUUUUGUAGCUUGACUGCCAUUGAUGACUUCACCACUCCCUAAUCAAUGUGCCAAAGGAAACAGCUACAUAUGUGACUGUAGUUUAUCUUUGUUUUCUCUUUCUGCUAUUAAACCAUCAAUAUAAUUGCCAAUAAAGGAGCUUGGCCACUUGUUGGAAAGCUCCCAUCUAUAGUAUAGAUAGCAGAGAAUGUUCCUGAAAAAAGCCACCGGUCUCCCAGCAGCACUAAAAGUUGAGUUUCAGAAAGCCAAGUAAGCAUUUUCCACAGUAGGGCCAAGCUUU